GAGAGGCUACGCAAAAUAAAGAUAAUUUAUGUUUCUUUCAUUAAAAAAAGUAAAUUCGUGCUGUUUUUAAAGGGUCGUUUUGUAUUUUUAUUUGGAUAAAGUCAUCACUGGGUACCUUUUGUCUUGUAUGUUAUUUAUCAGUAUUAAUAAAUGUCGUGCCUUGGCAUUCUGGAAUGAAGGGCUGUACGUAAUUCAGGUCCAUACAUAUCCUUGUAUCAUUUCAUUUAAGUUUAUACCGAGGAAUCAAUAAUAAUAAUAUAAUGUAUCACUGUGUAAAUAAAACAAACAAGAAAAUACAUCACGCUAACAUGUACUAGAAGGAAUGUUAGGCUUCAUAUUUCGUCGUAACUGAAGUUGCACUGGACUGUGUUGUCAAUUAGAAGGUAAGACAAUUCAUAUAAUAUCUUAGUAUACGUAAGAGGAUUCACAUAACCCGCGGUUGUCUUACCUUCUAUCACAAAAGUACACCAGGCCAGAACAUCAAUUUUCUAAAAUUACGAAAAUGGUCAUAAUUCUGACAAAAAUGCAUCAGAAUGCAAAUUCCUUUACAUAUCUAUCGUUAAAAGGAGGGUAUUUAAAUAUAAAUCUGUAAUAAAUAAUAUAUAGAUAACCGCUCCAUUAUCCACUGGAGUUGCCCUUCCUACGCCACCUUCAAAAUACAAGGAUAACGAAAUUCAGGCGUACAUCACUUCUUAUGCUGAUUCGGAAUGAAGUUCGUUUAAUACAAAUAACGUUUCUGUAUGAAAUAUUUCAAAAUUUAUCGUCAAAUGAAACAACUUUUUUAUACACAGGAUCAUGGGCUCAAUAGAUUCUAUAUACUGUCUUGGGAUACCAUAUUUUGUUUUCAACGUUACAAUAAGAUGGAUAUUGAUCGAAAACUUGACUUAUGUGCGUAGAGUUAUUUACAAUGGGAUUUAGAAAUAACGGUUCAGAAUACCCGUCUAAAUAUACUGUAAUGGGAUACCACAUGUUGUUCCCUAUGUAAACAUCGCAAUUUUAUGUCACAUUUUAGGAAACAACGUUACUUCACAAUUUGAAGAAGAAUCGCACCUUUUUGCUCAUAAAAGCCCUGUACGACAAGCGUAAAAAGUGCGGCAAUCGGAAAAGACUCCACGUAGGCCUAUGUGUUAAUAUUUUUAUGCAAAAAAAAAAAAAAAAAAGAAAAAAAAAAAAACACCUCUAAAACUAUGAUAACCGUACUAAUAAUGUACACAACAGUUCUGUUUGUUUAAUCUAAAUAAAAUUGGCGGGAUUUACUCUCUCUGAAAUUCGAGAGUAAAUAAAUUAUUCUCUAAACUUUCAUAACAGUAAGAAAAAAAAAAAAAAAAAAAAAAAACCACACACACAGAAAGUACGAAUAAGGCUAAUAUUUGGCAGUAAGUAUCGAUUUACAUUAUAUAUCAACACAAUACACGUUUAAUUCAGUAUUCAUCUGUUCUUGUCGUAGUCUUGUUGGAAUGGAAUGGAAAACUGAAAUGAAACUAACUUAGAAUUGAACAAAAUUUCAAAGUAAACUAAAAUAAAAGUAACUGUGCACUGCUUGAACUGAAAAAGAACUAUAUCUAGAAAUGAUUAAAUGUAAAGCCAUCAACGUCAUAUCCCCCCGAGUAACUCCGCCUGUGAAAGAACUGUAUGUCAAAAUAAAAAUAAAAUAAAAAAUACUAGAGUAAGAAUAAUUUCAUUCUCGCUUAGUGUCCAUAAAGAUGCAGACAACUAGAAAAUCGUUUAUAAAAAUCUGAACUAUUAUACAUCGAUUGAUAAGAAUGCUUUAAACCUCUUAAGCAUAUGGGGAGGGUGGAUAGGGCAUACACUAUUGUAAACUUCACUGCCAAAUAUUUAACCUCAAGAUGAAUUAAAGUUACAUUGUAAUGGUAUAUAUAUACCCAAUACACAAAUGCACGAUAAUCACGAGACCUGAACUACUGUAAAGACUGUUAAAUUAGCAAUACCGUAAAGACUGUUAUUGUCGUACCGAGAAUAAUUUCAUCUAAUGUAUUGAAAAAGCUAUAGAUAAUGACCAUACUUAAACCAUGUGGAAUUUCAAUAAUAUCACUAACUAUCAAUCUCCCGCGCUGUGUUUACAUAAGAAAUGUAUUACUUGAUGCUUAAACUAAAUCAUCAGUCAGAUGGUUUUGUAUCUACUGUAUUUUUAAAAGGUAGUGAAUCAUAUUUUGAUCAAAUAAUGGUUUUGUUUUAGUAAAUAAACUCUAUCUCCCGCUAAACCGUUGGUCCGAUUUUUGAAAAAAAAAAUCACCGAAAUGUUUCCUUAGUAUUUCUCUACUAAAGCAGUUAAAGCCUGUCCGAAGGCCGGCGAACAAGUCAACGCCCAAGACAGAUGCACUUCGGUCUGCGGGGCGCGUUGGCGAGUCGCACGGGCACCGUCCCUCUUUCAGCCUCUCUCUUGGCGGCCGGGCGAGCGACGCGGUCAAUAAACAGGGAUGGGUCUAGUUUCCCUUUAUGAUUGUACAGAAAGGUUCGGUCGCAGUGUUAUAAAAAAAGUUCUCCUUUCAAAUGUCAUUUCAAAAAGUAUUUAGAUUUACAUAAUUGACAAGAAAUUCAUUAAAAUAGUAAAUGAUGGUUUUUAUGAUUAUAACAUUUUUUUCAGAAAUUGGAGAAAAGGACAGAAGCAAACAACUUCAAUAAUGAAAUCGUUAAGGAGAUUAAAAAACUAUAUCUCCAAUACUCGGACCACUUCCAAAGAGAAAAUAAACAUUACUGACUCUCUCGAUGAGGAAAUUGACAAACCAUGUUUUAUAUAUUUGUGGACAUCAUCAUGCUGCAUGUUAGGUUGUGGGCACAUUUCUCUUGGACUACCCAAUGGGGAAUAUAUAAGUUUUUGGCCAGCAGAUGGCACUGGAUGCUGGGAUAUAUUGUAUAAAAAGUGUAACUACAAAUAUUAUGCAAGUCUAUGGGAUGAAGUUGAGGAAAAAGGAUAUCCGGACAAAGUUAAAGAAAUCUUUAAUCUAAAUGUAAAUGCUAUAACACAAUGGUGGAACAUUUUCAAGAAGGAAAACCCUAAAUAUGAUGUCUGGACAAGAAACUGUGCCAGUGUAGUUCUUACAGCGCUUGGCAAGGGCAAUAAAUGGUUCCUAAAUGCAUGUAAAUUAAAAACACCAAGAGGUGUCUUCGAGCUUGUUGAAGAAGAGUUUAAUGAGAAUAAAAAAUGUACACUAAAUUGUGAAAGGUUCGUUCAGUAUGUAUUGUUAUUUUGUAUUGCACAUUGUCUACGAACUACAUACUGGACAUGUAUAGCAAUCCAGCAGCGUUGUUCAAAAAUUCCGUGCCGCAGAAAAAAGGCAUCCGCGUUUCGUAUACAAAAUGUAUAGGAAUUGGAGAUAAUUGGAAUAAUCUAGAUGAAAAUCUAGUAUGGGAUAUUACAUAUACAAAAACACUUAAGGCAGUGCACGACUGAAUGUGUUAUUCCAAGAGUUCCAAGAACGGCGAACGAGGAGGUUAUAGAGCCUAACAAAACUGAAUACAAAAGACUUGGAAGAGUGUGAUGACAAUGAGCUGAUAUUCGGGUGCUAUUAAAUCCCAGCCGAUAUUGAAAAGUGAUAAAUUCAAUUACAAGUAAAAAAAUGCGUAGGGUGAGUGUACAGACAGACAGUCCCCAGCUCUACAUCUGACUUGAAAAAUGCUACGUAGCACGCCACAUGUAUCUCGUGCUCAGUUCUUUAUGGUAAUACUGCAUUCACUGCCAAUGGCAAAUAGAAUCUUGUGCUAAACUCCUACGUAGGUAAUACUCCAUUCACUGCCAACGUCAAAUAGAAUCUGGUGCUAAACUCCUACGUAGGUAAUACUCCAUUCACUGCCAUGUCAAAUAGAAUCUGGUGCUAAACACCUACGUAGGUAAUACUCUAUUCACUGCCAUGUCAAAUAGAAUCUGGUGCUAAACUUCUACGUAGGUAAUACUCCAUUCACUGCCAACGUCAAAUAGAAUCUGGUGCUAAACUCCUACGUAAGUAAUACUCCAUUCACUGCCAAUGUCAAAUAAAAUCUUGUGCUAAACGCCUACGUAGGUAAUACUCCAUUCACCGUUAACGUCAUAUAGAAUCUCGUGCUCAGUUCUUUUAGGUAAUACUGCAUUCACUGCCAAUGUCAAAUAGAAUCAUGUGCUAAACGCCUACGUAGGUAAUACUCCAUUCACUGCCAUGUCAGAUAGAAUCUGGAACUAAAAUACUCCAUUCACUGCCAUGUCAGAUAGAAUCUGGUGCUAAACUCCUACGUAGGUAAUACUCUAUUCACUGCCAUGUCAAAUAGAAUCUGGUGCUAAACUCCUACGUAGGUAAUACUGCAUUCACUGCCACGUCAAAUAGAAUCUGGUGCUAAACUCCUACGUAGGUAAUACUCCAUUCACUGCCAUGUCAAAUAAAAUCUGGUGCUAAACUCCUACGUAGGUAAUACUCCAUUCACUGCCAACGUCAAAUAGAAUCUUGUGCUAAACUCCUACGUAGGUAAUACUCCAUUCACUGUCAUGUCAAACAGAAUCUGGUGCUAAACUCCUACGUAGGUAAUACUCCAUUCACUGUCAAUGUCAAACAGAAUAUCGUGCUCAGUUCCUACGUAGGUACUACUCCAUUCACUGUCGGCGUCAUUUAGAAUCUCGUGCUCAAUUCUAUUUAGGUAAUACUUCAUUCACUGCCAAUGUCAAAUAGAAUCUGGUGCUAAACUCCUACGUAGGUUGUCAACAUCGAAUAGGAUCUCAUUGUCAAUCCUAUAUCAAAUUUCUGUUCACUGUCAACUGUCAAAUAGAAUAUCAUACCCAACUCCUACAUAGCUAGUACCCCAUACACUGUCAGAUUCGUCCUCAAUUCGUAUAUUGAUAAUUAUCCAUUCACUGCGAAGCUCAAAUGAAACAUCGUGCACAAAUCUGUAUACUUAGUUAUCCUUGCUGUGUCAAAUAGAAGUUCCUAGUGAUAUUUUGUACAUUACUUUUAUAUAUUUUAUAGACACAAUGCAAUUGUCUCAAACGAUGUUCAUUUUUCUCGCUUUUUGAAGUAAAUAAAAUUCCAUACGAGCUUUUAAUAACACUUUAAAUCAGGAGAGAUAAUAUGUGGUAUGUAAUCUGUGUGAUAUAUUUGAUGUUUUUGAUACAUUUAUUGUUAUUUGUGUUACAUUUGUAUAACAUUGAUUGUGAUAUUCUUUUACAUGUGUGUGAUACGUUUUGUAAAUAAAAAUGCAUUUGUGAUACAGAUUUUACUAUAAAUGCAUAAUACUUGAUAUGUUUUAUCUUUUGUAUCUGUUUGUAAUACAUUGUUGUUUAUAAGUCCAUACAUAUUCUGGAUAAAAAUGUAAGGAAAAUUCAAUUCGAUUUUAUUUUGUAGAUCACCUUUUUGAUAUGAAUUUAUUUAUUUACAAUAUACAAUGAUAUUUGCUUUUAAAAAAUUGCAACCAUUACGCAUAUUAUUAUAUUUCGAAAACAUUAUUAAAUCAUUAAAGUAAAUUUUAAAUAGAAAAGGUACCUAUCAUAAUACUUCCGUCUAUUACUUUUUAUCAGUUUCUAUAUGGUCUUAAAGUUAUUUUUAGAUGUGUGUUUAAUUUUCUGUAGGUCUUACAUUUAAACAUGAUCUUCUUUUCAAAUUAAAAUUUUAUACAAAUACGGGUUCGGGACAUGUAUUUCAAAGCAAGGUAUUUUAAUUCUGCAAGCCAAGUGUGUUCAUAUUUUUCUAUCAGUAUUAAGCGUAAUACUUUUUAACCUUUAGCCUGCUGAAUUUCUAAAUAUGACUGGUCCAUCAUUGAACUUGGGCAGUGCCAUUUAUUGUUCAAAGGGGUGUUCACUGAAUAUUUACUGACUGAAUAGCGAACAGUGCAGACCAUGAUCAGACUGCACGGAUGUGCAGGCUGAUCUUGGUCUGCACUGGUCGCAAAGGCAAAUCACUUGCCACCAGCAGGCUAAAGGUUAAAGAUUCUGCCAUCAAGUAUACUUUGUAUUGUUUCUUCUUUUGUUGUAUAGUGUAGAUUUUAAGAAAACAGGGUUGUGCCAUGACAAGAGAUAUACUGUUACAACAACAUAAAUAUACAACACAAGUAUGAAGUAAGAAUAAUUGUAGUUGUGCUAUUUUCUAUAAAAUGGAUACUAGAUCUUAUGAGUGACAUUUUUGACGGAAAACUUAGUCGAUGUUUUAUAAGGGUACAUACAUUUAUGUUAUAGAUCUGCUAGUCAGAAUUUAAGACAUUUUUCCAAUAAGCUAUGCAUGACCAUUAACAAUUCAUUUAAUAUGUAUUGGUUAUGUAGAUGCAUAGUUUUGUUAUUUUUAAAAAUAUCAUUGGUAGGAGCUCUAUGUUUUAUCCUGGUGUGAUGAUCGUGUAAUGUCUUAAGUUCAGUUUCACUACAUAAUAUAACAGAAUUCGUUUUAAAUCAUAUCAUUCCCUUAUUUAUUAAUUAAGUCUGACUUCUGAUAGUUUGCCGUUUCUUGUCAACUGAAGGGUAUUCUGUGACUCAGGUUUUUCUUCUUAUUACUAUUGUAUUUUGUUACGUAUCUUGUACAUUUUGUAUUCAACAUUUAUUAUUCAAAUUUGUUAUGUAGAGUCUGAUCCGUAAUCAGUGAAAUUUGCUAUGAUGAUACAUAAUACAGUAAGACAUUUAAAAAAAUCUUUUAUAUAGUGGGGAAUCACAUGAUCAAAAUAAGCUUUUAGCCAAAGUAAAUUUAUGAAUAACAUGGGAAAACUAUUGAAGCACAUUUUGCUGUACAUAAAUCUAAAAUAUAUAACUUAUCAUCAUUGCAACAUAAAUGUAUUCCUGAGUUACAUAGAUUUCAAUUACAAUCACCUUCUGAUUAAUUAGAAAACUUCAAGAAACUGAGACCUUAUUUCCAUAAGUGUUUGUAAUUACAAGAAAUCAUUAAUCAUUGUAAACUUCAUAAUUAUUUAACAACUUUUAUUAGUCAUAUGUUAGAUCAUGUUUAAAUUUCAUAUCUUCUCAUGGUAGGAAGUUUAUUCAUGUUCUUCAAAAUAUCACUUUGGCUUAGAGAUUAUUUGAUCAGUUAGUUCCCCACACAGUAAAAAUGUAAUGUAACACACAGUCAAAUAAUUGUUGAUAUGCUUUCUAUGAUAACUUUGAAAUACGUUAUUUUGUUACAGAGUCUUUUGAAACAUAGAUUAUGCCUAUAUUUAAUGUGACAACAUCUUUAACUUCUCAAAAUAUAACUCAAAAGGUAAUUUUUUGAAAGAGUUGUUUUAAUUAUUGACAAUAUUUUGAUACUGUUGGUCACUCUGCCGGUCGUUAGACCAUCUAGUUUUCCAUUCAUUGGUUCUACACUUUUCAACUUCAUACGAUGAUCCUUUAUUUAGCCCAGACGUUAAACUGACAGUAGAAUCGAGACUGAAAACGGUUUCUUAUCGAUAACCUUAAUAGGAUGAUUACCUGUGGUCAGUAAAUAACCCCUAAAGUUUUAAAGUUAGAAAGUUAAAGGUCAAAAUCAAAGUAAUCUUGAGACUGAAUACAAAUUGUGCUCAAUAACUGGAGAAAACAUUGGUUUUCAGUGGUCAAACUUCAUUGAGAUGAUUGCAUGUAGUCAAUGAAACGCCAACGAUUACCUUGGUUCUGUGAGUCAAAGGUUAAGGUCAAAGUGACCUUAAGACAAAAACUGGUUUCCGAUCAAUUUUUCCUGCGUCUUUCAAACUUUAUGAUAUGAUUGUUUUGAUCAAUAUAUGGCAUAUAAUGGUUUUUGGGUCAAAUGUCACCAAAAUUACUCACCAAGUCACCUCCGACAGGCUAUUACGUUGUUUGUUUUUUUUGUGCUUGUUCAUAAAAAAUCUGUUUUUGCUGUUGUACUUAUUAAUCUACAGUGAAAAUGUUUCUUCGAAUUCAAACUUUUUCUGGUAAAUGAGCCAUGAUAAACAUGUGUAUUAUUUUGUUGCAUGUUAUGGAAAAUAAAACAAAGAGACUGUUUCAA